UACGUAGGGUGCGAGCGUUGUCCGGAAUUAUUGGGCGUAAAGGGCUCGUAGGCGGUUUGUCACGUCGGGAGUGAAAACACCGGGCUUAACUCGGUGCUUGCUUCCGAUACGGGCAGACUAGAGGCAUGCAGGGGAGAACGGAAUUCCUGGUGUAGCGGUGAAAUGCGCAGAUAUCAGGAGGAACACCGGUGGCGAAGGCGGUUCUCUGGGCAUGUCCUGACGCUGAGGAGCGAAAGUGUGGGGAGCGAACAGG
rnacentral:rRNA from 1 species